AUUAAAACCCCUUUACUGGUCUUCCCCUCCGUAAUCCUUAUGCUCCCGUCAUGUCGAGGUUUUGAGAAUUGAGAAAGCUUGCUGAUGUGACCUUAUAAAAUGUUUGAAUCAACCUAGUAACAUACAAAUUAACGACCUGGAGGAGGAGGAGGGAGAACUACAUAGGUUUGUGCGGAUUCGUUUUCUUUGCAUAAACUUGUGUAAGAUGAGAUCUCAUGUUGAUUAUCUUGCCAUGAUUGUUGGAAUCGGUGUUCUUGAAAUUACCUUUGUUCCGCAACAACUUGAUCAACGACAGAGUUUGUCUUCGUGUCUUGGGUUGGGACAAUCGUUGACAUGACCUUCAUACCUUCCAAUGUCUCCAAGCAUCUGCCACAAGACCAACAAAACAAGCGACAUCCCAUUUUACGUAAAAUUGGCUUGAGGAAACUUUAUCAAACACAGGUUGCAAACUCAGUUGUGUGGGUGUUGUUGGAUCAGAAAUUGAGGAAUCUUAUUUGACAACAAACUUUCAUGUCUUUAUGAAAAUACAAAAAAGUUAUAUUAUGUCUGUUGAUAUUAUUUUGUAUAUUAAUUCUAUCAGAUCGCAAUUUAAGGGGUGUUUGGUAUU